rnacentral:rRNA from 1 species
AUUGAACGCUGGCGGAAUGCUUUACACAUGCAAGUCGAACGGUAGAGGGGGCAACCCCUCGAGAGUGGCGAACGGGUGAGUAAUAUAUCGGAACGUGCCCAGUCGUGGGGGAUAACGUAGCGAAAGUUACGCUAAUACCGCAUACGAUCUACGGAUGAAAGCGGGGGACUCGCAAGAGCCUCGCGCGAUUGGAGCGGCCGAUAUCAGAUUAGGUAGUUGGUGGGGUAAAGGCUCACCAAGCCAACGAUCUGUAGCUGGUCUGAGAGGACGACCAGCCACACUGGAACUGAGACACGGUCCAGACUCCUACGGGAGGCAGCAGUGAGGAAUAUUGCGCAAUGGACGAAAGUCUGACGCAGCCAUGCCGCGUGCAGGAUUGAAGGCCCUAUGGGUUGUAAACUGCUUUUAUAUGGGAAUAAACCUUUCCUCGUGAGGGAAGCUGAAGGUACCAUAAGAAUAAGCACCGGCUAACUACGUG